AGAUCUAUUCAAUUCAUUUAGGUUUAUCAAAUUGUUACUAAAAUAGUUUACUUUUGAUUCAUUAACAUUGACUAACUACUUUGGAAGCCAUUACAAUGAAAAAUGCCAUCGAACUCUUCUUUUUAUUCACCGUCAUCAAUGUGUCAUACUCAGCAACACUACGAGAGUUGGCCUUUAUGAAAAGCCUGUAUCCUCGGGAAAAUCUACCAAACAUGUUGGUUACUUCUAUGGUAAAUCGACGAAUUGAUAAAGUCAGGUCUGACUAAAAAAGAAAAUAUCUUCUUAAAGAUGCAAGAACCUUUUACAAUUCCACUAUACAAUCGUUAGAAGUACUUAUGGAAUCAAUGAUGAAUGCAAAUGACACUCGAAACGGUGAAUUUUUUGAAUCUUACUCACAUAUUGUUAAACUUAUAACCGAUGUUAACAAUAUCAUGUCAUUUCAUAAUGUUGAUUACUUGACUGUCAAUUCACGCGAUAGUUUCCCACAAGACGAACUUCAAGAGAUGAUAGACGCUUAUAUUGGUGACAUUGAGAUGGUUCGUAAGUGUGAAGGAUCCAUGGGACGUGCAGAUCGAGUAGACAUGAAGAUCGUUGAACGCAUAAAAUCAUUGUCCAAUGAAGUGCAAAAUUAUUAUUUCUAUAGGGAUGAUAACGUUUUUGAAACGAAAAGUAUUAAACAAAGAACAUUAGAUCAAUGUUUGUGGCGAUUCAAACUCUUUUUAAAUCAAUUUACAGAAACUUUCAUCCGUUAUUUAGAAUAAUUUUGGAGUUUUAUUAUCUAUUAAUAUUAAAAUGAAAUAAAAAUUGAAG